rnacentral:rRNA from 1 species
GGUAGUCCACGCCGUAAACGAUGUCGACUUGGAGGUUGUGCCCUUGAGGCGUGGCUUCCGGAGCUAACGCGUUAAGUCGACCGCCUGGGGAGUACGGCCGCAAGGUUAAAACUCAAAGGAAUUGACGGGGGCCCGCACAAGCGGUGGAUUAUGUGGUUUAAUUCGAUGAUACGCGAGGAACCUUACCAAGGCUUAAAUGGGAAUUGACCGGUUUAGAAAUAGACCUUCCUUCGGGCAAUUUUCAAGGUGCUGCAUGGUUGUCGUCAGCUCGUGCCGUGAGGUGUUAGGUUAAGUCCUGCAACGAGCGCAACCCCUGUUACUAGUUGCUACCAUUAAGUUGAGGACUCUAGUAAGACUGCCUACGCAAGUAGAGAGGAAGGUGGGGAUGACGUCAAAUCAUCACGGCCCUUACGCCUUGGGCCACACACGUAAUACAAUGGCCGGUACAGAGGGCAGCUACACAGCGAUGUGAUGCGAAUCUCGAAAGCCGGUCUCAGUUCGGAUUGGAGUCUGCAACUCGACUCUAUGAAGCUGGAAUCGCUAGUAAUCGCGCAUCAGCCAUGGCGCGGUGAAUACGUUCCCGGGCCUUGUACACACCGCCCGUCAAGCCAUGGAAGUCUGGGGUACCUGAAGUCGGUGACCGUAAAAGGAGCUGCCUAGGGUAAAACAGGUAACUAGGGCUAAGUCGUAACAAGGUAACC